UACGGAGGAUCCGAGCGUUAUCCGGAUUUAUUGGGUUUAAAGGGUGCGUAGGCGGAUCGUUAAGUCAGUGGUCAAAUUGAGGGGCUCAACCCCUUCCCGCCAUUGAAACUGGCGCUCUUGAGUGGAAGAGAAGUAUGCGGAAUGCGUGGUGUAGCGGUGAAAUGCAUAGAUAUCACGCAGAACCCCGAUUGCGAAGGCAGCAUGCCGGCUUCCGACUGACGCUGAAGCACGAAAGCGUGGGGAUCGAACAGG
rnacentral:rRNA from 1 species